GUGAGGAAUAUUGGUCAAUGGGCGGAAGCCUGAACCAGCCAUGCCGCGUGAAGGAAUAAGGCCCUAUGGGUCGUAAACUUCUUUUGUGGUGGAGCAAUAAGGGUCACGUGUGACCCGAUGAGAUUACAUCACGAAUAAGCAUCGGCUAACUCCGUGCCAGCAGCCGCGGUAAUACGGAGGAUGCAAGCGUUAUCCGGAUUUAUUGGGUUUAAAGGGUGCGUAGGCUGUUCGACAAGUCAGCGGUGAAAGCCCGGCGCUUAACGCCGGAACUGCCAUUGAUACUGUCGAGCUGGAAUACGGAUGCCGUGGGAGGAAUGAGUAGUGUAGCGGUGAAAUGCAUAGAUAUUACUCAGAACACCGAUUGCGAAGGCAUCUCACGAAUCCGUCAUUGACGCUGAGGCACGAAAGCGUGGGGAUCAAACAGGAUUAGAAACCCUAGUAGUCC
rnacentral:rRNA from 1 species